UAUUGGACAAUGGGGGGAACCCUGAUCCAGCGACGCCGCGUGAGCGAAGAAGUAUUUCGGUAUGUAAAGCUCUAUCAGCAGGGAAGAAGAUGACGGUACCUGACUAAGAAGCUCCGGCCAAAUACGUGCCAGCAGCCGCGGUAAUACGUAUGGAGCAAGCGUUAUCCGGAUUUACUGGGUGUAAAGGGAGCGUAGGCGGCCUGGCAAGUCUGGUGUGAAAUACCGGGGCCCAACCCCGGGACUGCAUUGGAAACUGCCAGGCUGGAGUGUCGGAGGAGCAAGCGGAAUUCCUAGUGUAGCGGUGAAAUGCGUAGAUAUUAGGAAGAACACCAGUGGCGAAGGCGGCUUGCUGGACAGUAACUGACGUUGAGGCUCGAAAGCGUGGGGAGCAAACAGG
rnacentral:rRNA from 1 species